rnacentral:rRNA from 1 species
CCCUUAGAUGUCCUGGGCCGCACGCGCGUUACACUGAUGCAUUCAACGAGCUUAUAACCUUGGCCGAGAGGCCUGGGCAAUCUUGUUAACGUGCAUCGUGAUAGGGAUAGAUUAUUGAAAUUAUUAAUCUUGAACGAGGAAUUCCUAGUAAACGCAGAUCAUCAAUCUGCAUUGAUUACGUCCCUACCCUUUGUACACACCGCCCGUCGCACCUACCGAUUGGGUGGUCCGGUGAAGCCUCGGGAUUGUGGUUCUUGCCGCUUUAUUGUGGCGUGACCGCGAGAACUUGUCUAAACCUUAUCAUCUAGAGGAAGGUGAAGUCGUAACA